rnacentral:tRNA from 1 species
CCUCUCGUGGUGUAGUGGUAACGCGCCCUUUCUAGUGAACUGGGAGCCGUGACUUCGAUUCUCACCGAGAAGA